AUGUCUCCUUUUUUUCCUCCCCACGUUGUUGCAGGGCGUUUUCAUUGACAGUGGUGGGUGGUUAUUGAAGUUAAAUGACAGUAUUAAUGGUUUGCUUCACACAAUUGCCGUCGGUAAGCCUUUCUCCUCUACUCGUCGCCGCUGUUGUUUGAGUCUGACACCAGCGCCGCCUCCGUUCUACACCCUUUCGUUGCUUAACACACACUGACGCCACAAAAUUUCUGAAAUUGAUCACAAGGUAGCCUUCAUACACCCUUCCCCUUGUACACAUCUGGUAUAUACACAUACACAUAACAUAGCUUUCAUCAAUGGCUAUCUAAACCUUCAUUCAAUCACAUCCUGAUGUUUUACACCCCCACUUUCGUGCUCUUUCCUAAGUUGGUCGUCAGUCGCUUGCGGAAAUCCAUAUCGGCUUCGUCAAUCUUCUUGAUAAUACUAAUCAAGUGCGUUUAUGAAGGAGGUUGAAAUUUUUCAUAAAGAGAGGAGUUUGGAGUUUAAGCCUCCAAAGUUUCAUGGAGAUUUAAUUUCUGGUGCAAAAGAGGGGUGAAUUAGAGGGACGUGUAACUUCCCUAAUUAGGGAGGUUAAAGAGUCGGGCCUACAAUAGUGGGAGCUGGUGACAGUGGCGGAACUAGAACAUCAAUUCAGGGGAAUUCCAAUUCAGCAGUUGAUUGUUUAUGAAAGAAUGCUAUUGGUGGGACUUGAUGAACGGUUAAAAGAACGAGUUUGCGGUCAAGAUGAAGCUGUGGAUGUGAGUGUGUGCUGACACAUACGCGUGAGAGAUCACCAUAUUGUGCCUUAAAACGCAAAGGGGUGGAGUGUUCCAAGGUUUUAGUGGAAAUCCCAACGUGUUGCCGCAAACAGUGGUUUACAGUGUCAUCAUCUACUCCGUGAUCGGUUAACGUCAACCAAAGGUUGUUGUGGUGAACUUCUGAAACCCUAGGAACCGGAGCAAAGCAGGCAAUAUUGGCGUCAACCAAAGUUUUGUCGACGAAAGUAUUAUUUGUUAUUUGCAAUAGGAACAACCUUGUAGAUUUAAGUUGUCAUGUUUAAAUUAUAUUGAAGCCUUUUAAUUUAUUAAUUGCUGAAAGGGAUAGGUUAGAAUGUUUGAAGCAAGUUGAAUUUCAAACAGUUUUUGUGGUUUUUUUCUGUUUUUCCUGCAAUUUUUAAGCAAAAAAUCUGAAUUUUCAGUUUUUUUUUAAAUAUUAUGUCACAAAUGCAUUGCAACUUUUU
rnacentral:lncRNA from 1 species